rnacentral:rRNA from 1 species
UACAGGGGGUGCAAACGUUGCUCGGAAUCAUUGGGCGUAAAGCGCACGUAGGCGGUCUGUUAUGUCGGAUGUGAAAGCCCUUGGCUCAACUGAGGAAGUGCAUCCGAAACUGGCAGGCUAGAGUACUAAAGAGGAUCGCGGAAUUCCCGGUGUAGAGGUGAAAUUCGUAGAUAUCAGGAGGAACACCGAUGGCGAAGGCAGGUCUCUGGGCCACUACUGACGCUGAGAAGCGAAAGCAUGGGGAGCGAACAGG